AAGUUUUAUCGGACACUGUAUGCCGGAACGCAACAUUUGGAUGCCGGUGGUCGUCCGUGGCGGGGAACAAAUCCGGUCGAGGAUGAAGCAGCGACAGAUCUAACAAUAGGUAGCGGCACCGAGGACGGCACCUCUGUGAAGGGGGAGCAGAUUCUUGCGACACCCUGGGUUGACGGAGUGGCAGCAGCGACCGGCACCGGAGAUCCUCGAAGGUGUGGCGGAGGGUUCCGGCGCGUUUCUCCGAUAUUGGCAAGACCAGCUCCACUCCUUGCGGCAGUCUCCCUUGGGAUCUCGAAGAGGAGGCUAGAACGACAAAGAAGCAGGUGGCGGUGGCGUUUCCAAGGAAUUGCGAUGGAGCACAAGACAGCGACGGGUUGCCGCAGCUAGCAGUGGAUUCUGCAAUGGAUGGUACGAAUGGAACUGAGGGAAGGUGGAGAAGGAGCCACUGGAGCCAGACGGUAG